rnacentral:rRNA from 2 species
UACGAAGGGGGCUAGCGUUGUUCGGAAUUACUGGGCGUAAAGCGCACGUAGGCGGAUUUGUAAGUCAGGGGUGAAAUCCCGGGGCUCAACCUCGGAACUGCCUUUGAUACUGCAAGUCUUGAGUCCGAUAGAGGUGAGUGGAAUUCCUAGUGUAGAGGUGAAAUUCGUAGAUAUUAGGAAGAACACCAGUGGCGAAGGCGGCUCACUGGAUCGGUACUGACGCUGAGGUGCGAAAGCGUGGGGAGCAAACAGG